GGAACAGCUUAUUGAUAUUGUAUAUGCUAACAUUUGGAUGUGGAGUGGGACAGGAGAGACAGCGUUUAACUGCUGGUAUGCGAUGCUGAAACUGGGCUGCUUGAAGAGGUUUUCAUUUACUGAUGUUGGACUCGUGCCCAGACUGCCAUAGUAGAAUUUAGGGAGAAACUCAGAAAGGAGUAGAACCACAGAACGGUUUGGAGGAACAUCCAUGUGGAGCAGAAGAAUAAAUACGUAUGAAGACUGUGCUUCAAGAAAUGAAGGGACUGGCCACUGGGGAACAGUUUUAAGCCCCCCCAAAUCUCUCCCUGACCCUCUCCAUUUGCACUUGAAGCAGCAGCAUCUUCAAUGACAGCCAGAAAGGAACUAGAUGGAAGGAAAUACCACUCAGUCUUUUCUACUGGUAAUCAAGAACACUUGACUCAAUGAAAGAAUUAGAAAUUUGGAAGAAUCUUUGGGAAGUGUUAUAUCUGGGAGAAGAGGGAACCAGCAUAUAAAUCAUAUAAAAUAGGAUUUUCAAGCUUUUGGGGUUACUUCUAUUCAGAAUGAAGACCCAUAAAGUUCUAUCUGAAUACAAAUCAUUACUGAGUUCUCUGAGAAUUUCAAGUGGGUCGGAG